UGCAGUCGACGAGAUCUUCGGAUCUAGUGGCGCACGGGUGCGUAACGCGUGGGAAUCUGCCCUUUGCUUCGGAAUAACAGUGAGAAAUUACUGCUAAUACCGGAUGAUGUCUUCGGACCAAAGAUUUAUCGGCAAGGGAUGAGCCCGCGUAGGAUUAGGUAGUUGGUGGGGUAAUGGCCUACCAAGCCGACGAUCCUUAGCUGGUCUGAGAGGAUGAUCAGCCACACUGGGACUGAGACACGGCCCAGACUCCUACGGGAGGCAGCAGUGGGGAAUAUUGGACAAUGGGCGAAAGCCUGAUCCAGCAAUGCCGCGUGAGUGAUGAAGGCCUUAGGGUUGUAAAGCUCUUUUACCAGGGAUGAUAAUGACAGUACCUGGAGAAUAAGCUCCGGCUAACUCCGUGCCAGCAGCCGCGGUAAUACGGAGGGAGCUAGCGUUGUUCGGAAUUACUGGGCGUAAAGCGCGCGUAGGCGGUUACUCAAGUCAGAGGUGAAAGCCCGGGGCUCAACCCCGGAACUGCCUUUGAAACUAGGUGACUAGAAUCUUGGAGAGGUCAGUGGAAUUCCGAGUGUAGAGGUGAAAUUCGUAGAUAUUCGGA
rnacentral:rRNA from 1 species